UACGUAGGGUGCGAGCGUUGUCCGGAAUUACUGGGCGUAAAGAGCUCGUAGGUGGUUUGUCGCGUUGUUCGUGAAAACUCACAACUCAAUUGUGGGCGUGCGGGCGAUACGGGCAGGCUAGAGUUCGGUAGGGGAGCAGUGGAAUUCCUGGUGUAGCGGUGAAAUGCGCAGAUAUCAGGAGGAACACCAGUGGCGAAGGCGGUGCUCUGGGCCGGAACUGACGCUGAGGAGCGAAAGCGUGGGGAGCAAACAGG
rnacentral:rRNA from 1 species